CUAGCACACCCCCUCCUAGCAACAACACUGAGAUCGACCGAAGCUAAGAGCCUGCAAAGACAAAAUGGCGACCAGUACAUUGUGAGAAUUUAUUCCUCAACUCAAGAAAAUUCAGGAUUAUCAGGUGAUUUCCGGUCCCUCAAACUGACGUCAACUUUACAAUAAACAGUUUCAAGAUUCUCCGAGUAUGGUCGCCAAGUUCUGGCGGGAGACGCCAAUACACGUGGCCGUUAUCUUACCCGCCUGACGUCGCGGUAGCGUCUUCUUGGCCGCCAUAGACAGAGCCCCUCGUGCAACAGAAGGUACAGGGGCUGUUGGAUGAGGAGUGUGACGAGAAAAGCGGGCAAACAAAUUUGCAGCCUGCCUGAGUUGGAAGCCGAAGGGAAUGCUGGGACAUUGAUGCUGCUGUGAUUCUCAUGGCUACAGAGUGAGGAAGAAAAGGAGUGGAAGAAAACAAUCAUGGUGGAAGCCAUAAAUGAUAAUUCACUGCCGAAAUUUCAAACAUGGAGCGUUUAUGCUAGUGAAGUACUGCGGCAUUUCGCUGAACUACAUUUACAGCACAGCAACGCCAUCUCACGAAGAAGCAUGAAAUUAAAUGAAGUGGCUAAAAUACGAGACAGAUUUUUUUUUAAUUUUGUACAUAGCUGUAGUGAUUUU